GAUGAACGCUGGCGGCGUGCCUAAUACAUGCAAGUCGAGCGAAUGGAUUGAGAGCUUGCUCUUAUGAAGUUAGCGGCGGACGGGUGAGUAACACGUGGGUAACCUGCCCAUAAGACUGGGAUAACUCCGGGAAACCGGGGCUAAUACCGGAUAACAUUUUGAACCGCAUGGUUCGAAAUUGAAAGGCGGCUUCGGCUGUCACUUAUGGAUGGACCCGCGUCGCAUUAGCUAGUUGGUGAGGUAACGGCUCACCAAGGCAACGAUGCGUAGCCGACCUGGGAGGGUGAUCGGCCACACUGGGACUGAGACACGGUCCAGACUCCUACGGGAGGCAGCAGUAGGGAAUCUUCCGCAAUGGAUGAAAGUCUGACGGAGCAACGCCGCGUGAGUGAUGAAGGCUUUCGGGUCGUAAAACUCUGUUGUUAGGGAAGAACAAGUGCUAGUUGAAUAAGCUGGCACCUUGACGGUACCUAACCAGAAAGCCACGGCUAACUACGUGCCAGCCGCCGCAGUAA
rnacentral:rRNA from 1 species